ensembl:snRNA U6 U6 spliceosomal RNA
UUGUUCCUGCUUCAGUAACACAUAAACUAAAAUUGGAACAAUACAGAAAAGAUUAGCAUGGCCGCUGCACAAGGAUGACAUACAAAUUCAUGAAACAUUCCAUAUUGUU